UUCUCUACUAGAGACUGAAAUAAUCUAUUUAGCCACAGAAUAGGUACAGCACAGGCAAUAGCAGUGCAAGAUUCUCUCCCUUUUCCCUGCCAAUGUACCUCAAGCCCUUACUGGAAGGACAGCCUCUAGGAGGAAGAGUACAGUUAAGUCUCCGUGGCUUAGUCAGUCACCAGA
ensembl:misc_RNA